rnacentral:rRNA from 1 species
CCUACGGGUGGCUGCAGUGGGGAAUAUUGGACAAUGGGGGCAACCCUGAUCCAGCCAUGCCGCGUGUGUGAAGAAGGCCCUCGGGUUGUAAAGCACUUUCAGUGAGGAAGAACGCCUGGUGGUUAAUACCCAUCAGGAAAGACAUCACUCACAGAAGAAGCACCGGCUAACUCCGUGCCAGCAGCCGCGGUAAUACGGAGGGUGCGAGCGUUAAUCGGAAUUACUGGGCGUAAAGCGCGCGUAGGUGGCUUGAUAAGCCGGUUGUGAAAGCCCCGGGCUCAACCUGGGAACGGCAUCCGGAACUGUCAAGCUAGAGUGCAGGAGAGGAAGGUAGAAUUCCCGGUGUAGCGGUGAAAUGCGUAGAGAUCGGGAGGAAUACCAGUGGCGAAGGCGGCCUUCUGGACUGACACUGACACUGAGGUGCGAAAGCGUGGGUAGCAAACAGGAUUAGAUGCCCCGGUAGUC